rnacentral:rRNA from 1 species
UACGACUACAUAUCAGGCAUAUCAAUAAGCGGAGGAAAAGAAACUAACAAGGAUUCCCUUAGUAACGGCGAGUGAAGCGGGAAGAGCUCAAAUUUGAAAUCUUCAAGGUUCUACCUUGACGAAUUGUAGUUUAUAGAAGUGUUUUCUGUUAGUGGAGUGGCAAAAGUUCUUUGGAAUAGGACAUCAUAGAGGGUGAGAAUCCCGUAUUUGGUCAUUCCUCCUAGCGUUGUGAUACACUUUCAACGAGUCGGAUUGUUUGGGAAUGCAGUCCAAAAUGGGUGGUAAAUUUCAUCUAAAGCUAAAUAUUGGCGAGAGACCGAUAGCGAACAAGUACCGUGAGGGAAAGAUGAAAAGAACUUUGAAAAGAGAGUUAAACAGUACGUGAAAUUGUCAAAAGGGAAGCGUUUGACACCAGUGUUGUUUUUCCGAAAAUCAAUUACGAAUGUUUUGUUUUUGAGGAGUUAUGACUUCAUCGGCUUGCUCCUUUCUUUAUGAAACUUUCUUAAUGCACUUUUCGGUUAACAAGUCAACAUCAAUUUCUUUUGUUGUAAAAGGGUAUGAGGAAGGUGGCUUUCUUUUCGGAGAAAGUGUUUAUAGCCUUGUGCCUCUGCAAUCGGAGAGAUUGAGGUCUGCAGCGUAGAUCCUUCGGGGUUAGAUACGUUAGAUGCUAAGUUAUAGCUUUUUCAUAGGACAACUUGUUGACUAUGAUUUAAGUCAUUGUAGCUUACUCGCUUGACGCUAUUUUACCUACGCUUAGGAUGUUGAUCUCUCACAGUCGAGC